AGUGAACGCUGGCGGCAGGCCUAACACAUGCAAGUCGAGCGGCAGCACAGUAAGAGCUUGCUCUUACGGGUGGCGAGGGGCGGACGGGUGACGAAUACAUCGCAUUCUACUUUUUCGUGGGGAAUAACGGAGGGACACUUACGCUAAUACAGCAUAUGACGUACCGGUGAAAGCAGGAGAUCUUCAGAGUUUUCGCGAUUGAAUGAGCCGAUGUCGGAUUAGCUAGGUGGCUGGGUAAAGGCACAGCAAGGCGACGAUACGUAGCCGAUCUGACAGGAUGAACGGCCACACUGGGACUGAGACACGGUCCAGACUCCUACGGGAGGCAGCAGUAGGGAAUUUUCGGCCAUGGGCGAAAGCCUGACGCAACAAAUCCGCGUGAGUGAAGAAGGUCUUCGGGUCGUAAAGCUCUGUUGUUGGGAAAGAAAAGAAGCAGGUUAAUCUGCGGAUGUUCUGACGGUACCCAAAGAAUAAGCACCGGCUAACUUCGUG
rnacentral:rRNA from 1 species